rnacentral:rRNA from 1 species
GAUGAACGCUGGCGGCGUGCCUAAUACAUGCAAGUCGAGCGAAUGGAUUAAGAGCUUGCUCUUAUGAAGUUAGCGGCGGACGGGUGAGUAACACGUGGGUAACCUGCCCAUAAGACUGGGAUAACUCCGGGAAACCGGGGCUAAUACCGGAUAACAUUUUGAACCGCAUGGUUCGAAAUUGAAAGGCGGCUUCGGCUGUCACUUAUGGAUGGACCCGCGUCGCCUUAGCUAGUUGGUGAGGUAACGGCUAACCAAGGCAACGAUGCGUAGCGGACCUGAGAGGGUGAUCGGCCAAACUGGGACUGAGACACGGCCCAGACUCCUACGGGAGGCAGCAGUAGGGAAUCUUCCGCAAUGGACGAAAGUCUGACGGAGCAACGCCGCGUGAGUGAUGAAGGCUUUCGGGUCGUAAAACUCUGUUGUUAGGGAAGAACAAGUGCUAGUUGAAUAAGCUGGCACCUUGACGGUACCUAACCAGAAAGCCACGGCUAACUACGUGCCAGCCGCCGCCGUAA